GAAUUGCGAUACGUAAUAUGACUUGCAGACGUGAAUCAUUGAAUCUUUGAACGCACAUUGCGCCCCGGGGUAUUCCCCAGGGCAUGCGUGGGUGAGCGAUAUUUACUCUCAAACCUUCGGUUUGGUCUUGCCUCGGCUCCGCCUCGGCUUAAUAUCAACGGCGCUAGAAUAAGUUUUAGCCCCUUCCUUUUUCCUCACCCUCGUAAGACUACCCGCUGAACUUAA
rnacentral:misc_RNA from 1 species